GGCGGUGCACUUCGGGUCGGCGCUGAUGGAGGCUCCAGGUCCUGCGGCGGUAGGACGUGCAGCGGCAAGGGAGCGAACCGGUUGCUGCCUGGGAGGGUCGACGCGCGCGAAGGAGGCAAUGGCGCUGCAGUUCUGUUCGCCGCCGGUGCAGGUUCAAGGUCCGGUGGAGGCGCGGGGAUGGGAUGUUCAGCGGCGACUUUGGGUAGCUGUUCUGGAUAGGGUUACCGUCG
rnacentral:lncRNA from 1 species